rnacentral:siRNA from 1 species
AUCGACCCUAGCUAUCAGCCUAUC